rnacentral:rRNA from 1 species
GGGUUGUGAGGUUAAGCGACUAAGCGUACACGGUGGAUGCCCUGGCAGUCAGAGGCGAUGAAGGACGUGCUAAUCUGCGAUAAGCGUCGGUAAGGUGAUAUGAACCGUUAUAACCGGCGAUUUCCGAAUGGGGAAACCCAGUGUGAUUCGUCACACUAUCAUUAACUGAAUCCAUAGGUUAAUGAGGCGAACCGGGGGAACUGAAACAUCUAAGUACCCCGAGGAAAAGAAAUCAACCGAGAUUCCCCCAGUAGCGGCGAGCGAACGGGGAGCAGCCCAGAGCCUGAAUCAGUGUGUGUGUUAGUGGAAGCGUCUGGAAAGGCGCGCGAUACAGGGUGACAGCCCCGUACACAAAAAUGCACAUGCUGUGAGCUCGAUGAGUAGGGCGGGACACGUGGUAUCCUGUCUGAAUAUGGGGGGACCAUCCUCCAAGGCUAAAUACUCCUGACUGACCGAUAGUGAACCAGUACCGUGAGGGAAAGGCGAAAAGAACCCCGGCGAGGGGAGUGAAAAAGAACCUGAAACCGUGUACGUACAAGCAGUGGGAGCACGCUUAGGCGUGUGACUGCGUACCUUUUGUAUAAUGGGUCAGCGACUUAUAUUCUGUAGCAAGGUUAACCGAAUAGGGGAGCCGAAGGGAAACCGAGUCUUAACUGGGCGUUAAGUUGCAGGGUAUAGACCCGAAACCCGGUGAUCUAGCCAUGGGCAGGUUGAAGGUUGGGUAACACUAACUGGAGGACCGAACCGACUAAUGUUGAAAAAUUAGCGGAUGACUUGUGGCUGGGGGUGAAAGGCCAAUCAAACCGGGAGAUAGCUGGUUCUCCCCGAAAGCUAUUUAGGUAGCGCCUCGUGAAUUCAUCUCCGGGGGUAGAGCACUGUUUCGGCAAGGGGGGCAUCCCGACUUACCAACCCGAUGCAAACUGCGAAUACCGGAGAAUGUUAUCACGGGAGACACACAGCGGGUGCUAACGUCCGUCGUGAAGAGGGAAACAACCCAGACCGCCAGCUAAGGUCCCAAAGUCAUGGUUAA